rnacentral:lncRNA from 1 species
UUCUUUAUUCUUUGUACUACAGAACAAAAAAGGAAUACAUGCUCUCCUUCAAGAUAAAGGUGCUGGUUGUAAUAAUAAUAAUAAUAAUACAAUAAUAAUAUUUAUUGAGCAUAUGUAUGUGCCAAUUGCUUUGUAAGCACGUUAGAGCACUAUUAUCUUAUUCAUCCACACAGUAACCAUUUAACAGAUGAGGAAAUUAGUCCUGGGGAACUGGGUAACUUGCCUCAAGUCCCUCUACUAAGUGACAAGGUGGGGAUUAGAACCUGACUUUUUCAAUAGCUGUUUUACUGAAGAAAGAGAAGGGCUGGGCAGACUGUGAGUGGCUUGGCAGUGCGGCAUUCCGUGUGCGGCCCAUGUGCUGAUUUCCUAGCACCCCAAACAUAGCUCUGAUCAUUGUUGGGAAUUCACCUGAUGAGUCCUGGAACUUCAGUUCCCCAAGGAACAGGCCCGGACACCGGCAACACAAAGCGACCGUUAUUAUUCUGAACUUUGUCCUUUAGAAACAUGGAUACCUGGAAAAAAAUACAUUUAUUGUCAUUUUUCUUGGUAUAUUUUCAUAGACAUCAAUAUUCUGAGGGUGGAAAGUGCGUAAUGGUUUGGGAACAUGACCUAUGAGUUUAUAACAAUAAGAAGGGAGAGGCUGGGCGCAGUGGAUCAUGCCUGUAAUCCCAGCACUUUGAGAGGCUGAGGCAGGCGGAUCAUGAGGUCAGGAGAUAGAGACUAUCCUGGCUAACACGGUGAAACCCUGUCUCUACUAAAAAUACAAAAAAUUAGCCGGGCGUGGUGGUGGGCACCUGCAGUCUCAGCUACUCAGGAGGCUGAGGCAGGAGAAUUGCUUGAACCUGGAAGGCAGAGGUUGCAGUGAGCCAAGAUCGUGCCAUUGCACUCCAGCCUGGGCGACAGAGUAAGACUUCAUCUCAAAAAAAUAAAAAAAUAAAAAAAAGAAGGGAGAAAAAAUUACACUUGCAGAGUUAACUGUAUUUUAACAAACAGAACUAUUUUUUUUUUUGAGAUAGGGACUCACUUUGUCACCCAGGCUGGAGUGCAGUGGCACGAUCUUGCCUCACUGCCACCUCAGCCCCGCCAGCUCACGCGAUUCUCCCGUCAUAGCCCCCAAGUAGCUGGGACCACAGGUGUGAGCCACUGUGCCCAGCUAAUUUUUAUAUUUUUUUGUAGAGAUGGGUUUUCGCCAUGUUGGCCAGGCUCAAAAUCCUAAGCCCAAGUGAUCUGCCUGCCUCGGCCUCCCAAAGUGCUGGGAUUACAGGCGUGAGCCACCGUGCUCGGCUACAAACAGAACUACUUUUGAGCAGCGCAGCAAACCUUCCAGGUCUUGGAAGAAGAUGAGGAGUGUCUGCCGGAUCAGCUGGAACUCCCCUGCAGAGAGACCACCAUAUAUCUGCCAAAGGCAAGCAGAAAGCAGCACUUCACUUUCCAAGAGGGAUGAGUAGUACGCACCGGCAGGGCAGAUGGGUACUCAGGGAUGGGAGCCAGAUAGGUAAGGAGAGGACUGGGCUGCUGGGCAGGAGGGGCAGCGGGGAGACCAGCAGUGCUGCCUCUCCACGGUGACAAAGCCUGUUACCCCACACCUGAGCAGGGGUACACUUCCUGUCUCCCAUUCUCCACAGACCUGGAGAGCCUGUUCCCCAAGAUUUAGCAGAACAUCCACCACCAAGUCCCUUUCCGAAAAGUGAGGAGAAAAUGGCUAUGCUCUGUAUAUUGCUUUUCCAAUUGUGAAGGCAUCAGUAAGAGGACAUAAGAUGAUGAUGCCUGUUACAUUACCAAAAUGGACACGGAUUGCUUUUCAGAAUGUUCUGGGAGAGUGGCAGGCUUUGCCAUUCCUCAUCCUGUUCUCUCUGUCAUAGAUCUACCUGUUCUUAACAGAGGGAUGAGAAAAAGUACUGGGGCUGAGAGGCGAGACACUGAUGGCACUCUUACUUCUGUCAGCUGCCGCAAAGUCUCGUCCACUUGCUGCAGGAUGGUUGGGGAGUCUCGGAUGAAUCCCUUGAUGGUAUCCAAGUGAUUGAAAGUGACCAGCAGCACAUCCUUGGGUCGGGGACACAGCAAUACUUGAUAUUUGAAAGCCAUGGUCAUCAGGUCAUAGAGCUGCCAACCCACACACAAGCAAAAGAAAUGGGAUCAUAUCAAAAUCAGGUGUGAGAAUCUCCAAACAGUGAUUCAGUCAAGCAUUUACUGAAAACCAACUCUGGGCUUGCCAUACAGCUCGGGGGACCAUAUCACUUAUCACCCAAACCAAGACACUUCUGAGAGUCAAGGCGGGUGCUUUUAAUAAUUAAGCCAGGAAAACAGGAGUAAGCCAGCACAUUCCUGGGCAAACCAGGAUUUCUGGUCACCUGAUGUGUAUUGUUAAUGGGAUACGUCUGAAAUAAUAUUGGCAGCAGCGGAGUCCCAAAGUGAGCACUGGAUCUGGAGAAAGAAAAUGCAAAUUUAAGUACUCCUUUCCUCCUAACUUAUUGUAUAACCUUGGCCAAGUUUCUUAACCUCUUUGGGCCUGAGUUUUCUCAUCUGUAAAAAAAUACUCUCUAAUUUCCCAAUGUUGCAGAGGUGCUGAGAGCAAUAAAUGAGGCAAUAUGUGUGCAAGUGGCAAGCAUAGAGUUCUACAACUUUAUAAGAAUCAUUUUAAAUGAUGAACUAUGUGGAUAUCAACAAGCCAUCUCCACAUAGGUGUGGUAUGACCAUACAUGAAAGAUCAGAAGGGAGGAACUGGUGGGGACCAAAGUGGUGAAGGCAGGCUUUGUGGUACAAGUGGCCUUAUAUAGCCCUCGAGGCAGCUGCAGGAUUUAAAUUGGCUGAGGGCAGAGGAAAGACAUUCCAGUUGAGGGAAACAGUACAUGUGAGGGCCUGGAGGCAGCAAUGAGUAUGUUAUUUUUCUGGGAGAAAGAGGAGAAUGGCCUGAGGACAGUUUGUGUUGGGGAUGGCAGGUAAUAAAGCUGGGUAAGUAUGGCAAAUGAAGAUGGCAACAAUAGAAACUGGGGACUGCAAGAAUGGGGAGGGAGGGAGGGAGGUAGGGGUCAAGGGCUGAAAAACUAACUAUUGGGUACUAUGCUGACUACCUGACUGAUGGGCUCACUUGUACCCCAGACCUCAGGAUCACGCAAUAUACCCAUGUAACAAACCUGUGCAUGUACCUCCUGAAUAUAAAAUAAAAGCUGAAUUAUUAAAAAUAGAAUAAAGUUUUUGGGGAGAUACACAAUAUAAUUUAGACUAGAUGUAGUAGAAGUUAGGGGGUUAAAGUUUUCUGGGCUGACAUGAUCAAAGUGGUGACUGAACGAGAUCUGGCAAUGAUGAGCUGUGACAGAAGGGAGAGACUAGUUAGGGGGAGUAGCUAGCACCUGGUUCCUGAAAAGAUUACAAUAAAUAUCUACUGAUUGCAUGAAUGAAAGAAAUGUUGUUGGAGCAAUCCAGACUUAAGGCCUGGAAAAAAGAUAGUGGGAACGGAGAAGUCAGGGAAAGGAAGAUCACGCGAUAUUUAGAAGGAAAAGCUGUCAGUAGGUGGUGACUGCCUAGAUUUGGGGGAUGAUGAUCAGGGUUGUCCAGAAGGACUGCACCUUUUCAGCCUAGUGCGGGUGGGGAGGGAUGAUGCUAUUGAUGGAGGAAAAGACGUCUGAGGGAUGUGGGAGCGGAAGAGCCAGGAGAGAAGAUGGACGGUUAACUUAAGGACAUGUCUGGGGCAGGAUUGAAACGAUAAACAACUACCAUCUGAGUGUCAUGCCAAGCACGUGUAUAUAUAUUACCUCAUUUGAUCCCAUUUAUUCUUCACAAGAACUCUAUGAGGUAGGUAUUAGCCCAGUUUAAUAAUGAGGAAACUUGCCUAAUUUCAUAUUGCUGGUAAGUGCAGAAUGAUAUUUGACCUCAAGACUAUCAGAUUCUAAGGCACUUGCCAGGACCCUGCUACACAAUCCCAUUUCUCCUACCUGCAGCCAAACAUUUCCACUUAGAAGGUGGCAUACAACCAGAAUAGCUAGCCAGAUGCAGUGGCUCACGCCUGUUAUCCCAGCACUUUGGGAGGCCGAGGUGGGUGGAUCACCUGAGGUCAGGAGUUCGAGACCAGCCUGGCCAACAUGUUGA